CCCUGAGGACUUUCUUCCAAGUCUCCAUAAUGCAGAACCUUGUGGUUGGGUGAAAGUCGACAGUACCAAAACUUGUCUGAAGGAAAAAAACACACAAAUUUAUAAGAUCUCCUGAGCCUCCCUGUGCUCCUAGUCUAAUCACCAAUUUGACCACACCUUUAUACCCACAAUCUUCAUCCAGCAUUAUUCAUCCGUUCAUUCAACAACUGUUUUUCAAGCACCAACAAUGUGCAAGGCACCGUGAGACAUCUGAAGACUUGUGUCGAAUGAGCACCCAGUCUGGGAAAGUGGAUAAGACAUGUACAUACUUGCCUCCUCCAAGGGAGGAAGUAAUGUCACAGUGAAGUGAGGGCAAGACAUUCAUUCCUCAAAUACUUGGUCCCUCUCAAGUGCUGAUGGGCUGACAGCACAGUACCAGGACUUUGGCUGGGGCUUGAGGAGGGACCAGAUGUGGACAUGAUGAGAAGCAGAGAAGGAGCUACCAUUAAUGGUGGAAGAAACAGCAUGAGCCAACGCUUGGAGACAGAAGAAGACAUCCCUGGGUGGGGAGGAGUGUAUGGUGGCUUCAUUUAGUUGGAAAAGUGAGUUAGGGCUGUGAGGUAAGCCUGAAAGUCAGGCUGGGCCAGACAGUGGGUGGUUUUGUUGGUUAAGAUGAAAAAUUUGGAAUUUUUUUUCUAUAAUUAAUGAUAAGUCACCAGGGGAUUUGGGGGCUGUGUGAUGAAAUUCAAUACUAUAAAGUAUGUUGGGACGCAUACAAAAAUUGGGAGAGAUUCUGCUUGGAGAGGAGUCUGGGGAAACAUUACUAAAGAGCCAUUAUCCCUGUUGCCACUGGGGUGAGGAAGGAUGUCAGCAAGUCUGCAAGGCCAAGACACAACUGUGGCUGGGACUUAAAGGAUGGAUGGGAGUUACUGAGGGAAGAAGAGGGGCAGGAAGUCCAGGAAGAGGUACCAGCAAGAGCAAAGGCUGGAGGGAGGGAGUGCAUGGGUCGGACAUUAGACAAAAUAUGCUUUUGGAGUCCAUAUUACAGCUUUCAGCAAAUGGAUGCUACUGGUUGCAGGAUGGCUUCUCAGCCUUUAGGGCCCAACAUACAUGUUAGAAAUAAGCCCACAGACCCAAUCAAAGGAGGGACAUGGAGACUCAGAGCACAGUGAAACGAGGCUUUAAUCAACAUUCUUGCAAAAAUGGGGGACUGACAGACAUGCACACUCAGGACAAUUACAGCAGACAAUUUAUCUCCUAGCAUGCAAGUCCCUCCCUUGGUUCCUCAUUGGCUGAGUACUAGAGGUUAUAACCUUACCCGGAUAUUGUCUAUGCCCAUGUAAGACCAAAAAUAGUCUGACGGAAACAAGUGUAUAUUCCCUGAGGUGACUUUCAGGGACAGAGACUUUCAGUCCUUCCCUCAUGCUCAUUGCAAAGCCCACAAAAAUAAGCCCACGAAAUGGAGAGGGGAAGAAGAAACAGGAAGUGAAGUGUCUAAAGAUUUGAGACUCCAUUGUUGGGGGGGUUGGUUCAUACAUAUUUCCAAUAGAUUGUAAACCUAUUGUUAAUUAGAUAGCACAGCUUUUAUUUGGUAUUUCUGAAAAGGAAUAAUCUCCCUUACUUCUCAUAAUACACAACUGUGAAGCCAGGCUGUGACUUUUUCCAAGACAGUCUAUCUCUCCCAGACUCAGUUUCCUCAUCUGUAAACCAUAAAUACUAAUCAUUUAGAAUUUGUCGAGGUGUUGUUCUUUAGAUAAAGCCUCAUACCAUUUAUGGUACCUUGGACCAUACAUGGGUUUCCCUUCCCAAGCCUUAGUCUGCUCACUAUAAAGUGGAAAUAAUAGUUCAGAGUUCAUAGGGUUAUCAUGAAAUCGAAAUAAGAUAUUGUUUCAAUACACCAAAUAGAACAUAUUAGAGACACAACAAAUAUGAUGUCAUGCUCCCUUGCCUUCUGAGAAUGAAAUGACUUAUAUCAGAGGUUUCUCCUACAAUAAAAUAUCCUUGAAAGAGUGUUCCGAGACCACAUCUAUAUCAUUUGGGAACUUGCUGGAAAUGCAACUUCUCAGACUCACCCCAGAUCUACUGAAUCAGAAACUCAAGGAGUAGCACCCUGCAAUCAGGGUUUCUCAAUAGCUCCUCCAAAUGAUUCCAGCACUCACUAAAUGUGAGAAGCUUGGUCUCAGCAAACAUUUAGCCCCACUUCUCAGCCUUCAGUGUGGCAUCAAUGGCAAUUCGUGCCAUAUCCCAUUAAAGGAGAUAAGUCAGUUACUGGUGUACCUUUCUCCAACUAGAUUGUAAAUCCCUAGAGGGCAGGUACUGUUCCUUAUUUGUAUUGUGGUCCCUAGUACUUAACACGGUAUCUUGCAGACUGUAAUAAUGGUUGAUAUGUUUAAUGCCAAAGAUUCUUAGGCUCCUACAUUUUAUCUGUAGAAUUAAACAAAUACAUCCUUAACACA